UUUAACUAUAAAAACCAGAUGUAUUUUUAAAACAGGAGUCUAAUGUAAAAUACCCAAAAAUAUAGGUCAUCGUUACAUCGGACGUCGUAAAGAUCCCAAAAGAAGACUCUAAAAAUAUAACAGCAGACAUAUUUAGAAUGACAAUGGAAAGCGGUAAUGACAUGCGGUGCGGACAUUCAAUUUCGUAUGUUGUAGUCUAGGGGGUUUUUAUUACAAUGGCAUAAGGACUGAAAUACUGUGGCUUAGUGGAAAGUAAGGAGCGGAUACAACAUCUGACUCACGGGAACAGUACGCCGAAUAUUGUCCGGACCUCACGAUCUCAACGUAACGUGUGAAGAAUACUAAAUUCUUGGUUCCGCUUGCAAUUGCAUCUUGUAAACUAGUCAUUAUUAAACGAAUUACAACUCUUAAUUAGAAUCUUCGUUUACUUUGAAUACAAAUAAAUAGGUAAGUAACUCAAUUUUAGUCAGAAGAUUUUCCUCGAGGAUCGAGUCGGACAAAGAGGACAAGUCUAUUGAUUAUUUAAUUUAGGUACCUGCUGCAGUUUCUUGAAUACCGAGAACCAGUUACUUACAUAUUUCAUGGCCUUUAAAGCAUUAUAGGUUUGGUCUGUAUUUUUCUAAAUAGAGAUUUAUCAUGUGAAUAGUUUAAAUAUAGGUAUGUCCUGUAUGUUGUCAAA